GCCCUACGGGGGGCAGCAGUGGGGAAUAUUGCACAAUGGGGGAAACCCUGAUGCAGCAACGCCGCGUGAGUGAAGAAGUAUUUCGGUAUGUAAAGCUCUAUCAGCAGGGAAGAAGAUGACGGUACCUGAAUAAGAAGCCCCGGCUAACUACGUGCCAGCAGCCGCGGUAAUACGUAGGGGGCAAGCGUUAUCCGGAUUUACUGGGUGUAAAGGGAGCGCAGACGGCAGUGCAAGUCUGGAGUGGAAGCCCAUGGCUUAACCAUGGUACUGCUCUGGAAACUGUGGAGCUUGAGUGCGGGAGGGGC
rnacentral:rRNA from 1 species